UACGUAGGGUGCGAGCGUUGUCCGGAAUUAUUGGGCGUAAAGAGCUCGUAGGCGGCUUGGCAAGUCGGGUGUGAAAACUUCAGGCUCAACCUGGAGCGGCCACUCGAUACUGCCAUGGCUUGAGUCCGGUAGGGGACCACGGAAUUCCUGGUGUAGCGGUGAAAUGCGCAGAUAUCAGGAGGAACACCGGUGGCGAAGGCGGUGGUCUGGGCCGGAACUGACGCUGAGGAGCGAAAGCGUGGGGAGCGAACAGG
rnacentral:rRNA from 1 species